UACGUAGGUGGCAAGCGUUGUCCGGAAUUACUGGGCGUAAAGCGCGUGUAGGUGGUUUGGUGUGUCAGAUGUGAAAGCCCUGGGCUCAACCCAGGAACUGCACCUGAAACUACCAGUCUUGAGUGGUGGAGAGGGAAGUGGAAUUCCUGGUGUAGAGGUGAAAUUCGUAGAUAUCAGGAGGAACACCGGUGGCGAAGGCGGCUCACUGGCCCGGUACUGACGCUGAGGUGCGAAAGCGUGGGGAGCAAACAGG
rnacentral:rRNA from 1 species